AUAUAAAUCAACUAGGGAUCUUGAUAAAAUGCAGAUUCUGACUCAGCAGUAGUCCUAGCCUGGAGCUUGAGAUUCUGCAUUUCUAACAAGCUCUGAAGGGAUGCCAUU
rnacentral:pre_miRNA from 1 species